GACGAACGCNGGCGGCGUGCCUAAUACAUGCAAGUAGAACGCUGAAGGAGGAGCUUGCUUCUCUGGAUGAGUUGCGAACGGGUGAGUAACGCGUAGGUAGCCUGCCUGGUAGCGGGGGAUAACUAUUGGAAACGAUAGCUAAUACCGCAUAAGAGUAGAUGUUGCAUGACAUUUGCUUAAAAGGUGCAAUUGCAUCACUACCAGAUGGACCUGCGUUGUAUUAGCUAGUUGGUGAGGUAACGGCUCACCAAGGCGACGAUACAUAGCCGACCUGAGAGGGUGAUCGGCCACACUGGGACUGAGACACGGCCCAGACUCCUACGGGAGGCAGCAGUAGGGAAUCUUCGGCAAUGGACGGAAGUCUGACCGAGCAACGCCGCGUGAGUGAAGAAGGUUUUCGGAUCGUAAAGCUCUGUUGUAAGAGAAGAACGAGUGUGAGAGUGGAAAGUUCACACNGNGACGGUNUCUNCC
rnacentral:rRNA from 1 species